AGUAUUAUAUUUUAUAAAAAUUUUAAAUUGCAAGUUUAAAGAUAGGAAUAUUAUUCCUUAAUACUU
rnacentral:tRNA from 1 species